AACGCGAAGAACCUUACCCAGGCUUGACAUCCUUGGAAUUUUUCCGAAAGGAAAAAGUGCUUUAUUGAGCCAAGUGACAGGCGUUGCAUGGCCGUCGUCAGCUCGUGUCGUGAGAUGUUUGGUUAAGUCCAUCAACGAGCGCAACCCUUAUGUUUAGUUGAAUUUUUCUAAACAGACUGCCCUGGUAACAGGGAGGAAGGGGGGAUGAUGUCAGGUCAGUAUUACCCUUACGCCUGGGGCUACAGACACGCUACAAUGGCCGGUACAAAGGGCAGCCAAGUCGUAAGACGGAGCAAAUCCCAUCAAAGCCGGUCUCAGUUCGGAUUGCAGGCUGAAACCCGCCUGCAUGAAGCUGGAAUCGCUAGUAACGGUAGGUCAGCACACUACCGUGAAUACGUUCCCGGGCCUUGUACACACCGAUAGC
rnacentral:rRNA from 1 species